rnacentral:rRNA from 1 species
CGUGUAGGCGGCCAGGUAGGUCCGUUGUGAAAACUAGAGGCUUAACCUCUAGACGUCGACGGAAACCAUCUGGCUAGAGUCCGGAAGAGGAGAGUGGAAUUCCUGGUGUAGCGGUGAAAUGCGCAGAUAUCAGGAAGAACACCCGUGGCGAAGGCGGCUCUCUGGGACGGUACUGACGCUGAGACGCGAAAGCGUGGGGAGCGAACA